rnacentral:rRNA from 1 species
ACGAACGCUGGCGGCGUGCUUCACACCUGCAAGUCGCACGGAAAGGCCCUGCUUUUGUGGGGUGCUCGAGUGGCGAACGGGUGAGUAACACGUGAGUAACCUGCCCUUGACUUUGGGAUAACUUCAGGAAACUGGGGCUAAUACCAGAUAGGAGCUCCUGCUGCAUGGUGGGGGUUGGAAAGUUUCGGCGGUUGGGGAUGGACUCGCGGCUUAUCAGCUUGUUGGUGGGGUAGUGGCUUACCAAGGCUUUGACGGGUAGCCGGCCUGAGAGGGUGACCGGCCACAUUGGGACUGAGAUACGGCCCAGACUCCUACGGGAGGCAGCAGUGGGGAAUAUUGCACAAUGGGCGGAAGCCUGAUGCAGCAACGCCGCGUGCGGGAUGACGGCCUUCGGGUUGUAAACCGCUUUCGCCUGUGACGAAGCGUGAGUGACGGUAAUGGGUAAAGAAGCACCGGCUAACUACGUG